AGCCAAUUCUGGGGGCUUCCUAGCCCAGGUCCUGCAGUGAGAGCCCAUCUCUCUCCACUGCUGAAGGUCAGCUCAGCUGUCCUGGCUGUCGCCAGGGAGACUCCGAGCCACAGGACUGGCCAGACAGAGAGACAGAGCAAGGGAGAGGGGAAAUUACAUGCUUGGUUUUGCAGACAAAAUGAACCUCCCGGCAGUGCCAGAGCCUCUCAGAAGGUCUCAGAGCCUGCCUACUUCUCUGCCUCCUCUUUUUUUCUCUUCUUUCUUUAAUGGUAACAUCUUCUGAAUUGUACUUAAAUUAAUUCAAGGCUUUUUCGUUUGGACAAUAUGCCAGUUAGAAGGAAAAAAUCAAAUACACACCUGGAUAGUAUUAGACAGCCAAUAAGGGAGUUUUUUAAAUAGAUUUGGUUUUCAAAAGAUGAUUCAGUGCCAAAGCUGAAAACAGUUUAAAUAAAAACCCAGAUGCCUGCAGCUUGACAUCUCCAAGUUCUUAUUCUUUCUAGGCAUCAGAUGUUCUUGAUUUUUCGCAUAGCAAAUUUUAUUUCCUUUUUGUUUUACGAUACACUUACACAACAGGACUGUACCAGUGAAAAAGGAAAAAGUAAAGAAACGGGAACAAAUUAAUUACUGGGUUUAACCUUUUAAUUACAGUGUGACUUCAAUGAGGAGCCAUAUGACAGACAAAUCAAAAGUCAAAUUUAGCCAAAUAGUGAAACACUAUGGAAUUUUAAUAUUAAUAUUUUAAUAUUAAUAUUUUUUAAUACUAGUUGGUUCCUGUUGUAUCCUGUCUAGUGGAACUUUUAAUUUACUGCAAACGUUAUCUGAGACAAAGAUCUUCAGUGUUCAGCUUCCCUGGUCCUUCCAAGAGGAUGCCCAAGACCCAGGCAGGGCAUGUAUCACACACCUCAGGGCACUGAGACAGCAGAGCUCUGUCAGUAGUUUGCAAGAGUUUCCAUGUGUCCCAAAUUGGCUUCUGUGGGGUGGAGCUGCCCAGAGAAUCACCCAUAUCCACAGGAAACUCCCUCUUUACUCACCUCUUCCUACAAUUAGGAGCUGGAUGACCAAGCCACCCCUGUACCAGUGCUGAUAAGGUGAGGAAGAACCUCUCCAAGGAAAACUUUCAGCAGGUGGGAAAACAGACUGGGGAAAUAUUGCAAAAUGCUCCCCUGAUUUCUGCAGUGUCCUCUCAGCAUCCCUGACUGGCCUGUGCCAGAGACAGGACACCAGCAAAGCCACACCUUUAUGUGAACAGCACAAACAUUAAAUGCACCUCAAGAGUAGCAGGUUGGGCACCACUUUGGUGUUGAAGCCGUUGGUCACCUCAUGCUUGUAUUUUCAUCCUGGGACUCUCCAUUUUUCUCUUCAUAAAUGUUACCAACCUCUCUUUUUGUAUUUUGGAACUUGGUGCCACAGUAACUCAACA